CCUACGGGAGGCAGCAGUGGGGAAUAUUGGACAAUGGGCGAAAGCCUGAUCCAGCAAUGCCGCGUGAGUGAUGAAGGCCUUAGGGUUGUAAAGCUCUUUUACCCGGGAUGAUAAUGACAGUACCGGGAGAAUAAGCCCCGGCUAACUCCGUGCCAGCAGCCGCGGUAAUACGGAGGGGGCUAGCGUUGUUCGGAAUUACUGGGCGUAAAGCGCACGUAGGCGGUUAUUCAAGUCAGAGGUGAAAGCCUGGAGCUCAACUCCAGAACUGCCUUUGAAACUAGAUAACUAGAAUCAUGGAGAGGUGAGUGGAAUUCCGAGUGUAGAGGUGAAAUUCGUAGAUAUUCGGAAGAACACCAGUGGCGAAGGCGGCUCACUGGACAUGCAUUGACGCUGAGGUGUGAAAGCGUGGGGAGCAAACAGGAUUAGAUACCCUGGUAGUCCACGCCGUAAACGAUGAUACUAGUUGUUGGGGUCUACUUAGAGUCUCAGUGACGCAGUCUACGCUAUUAAGUUACUCCGCGUAGGGAGGUACGGUCGACGAGAAUAACUACAANAGAGUAGACGNGNGAGACGNGCGAGCGACGACGAGGGAGAG
rnacentral:rRNA from 1 species